rnacentral:rRNA from 1 species
AUUGAACGCUGGCGGCAGGCUUAACACAUGCAAGUCGAGCGGGGUGAUGGUGCUUGCACUAUCACUUAGCGGCGGACGGGUGAGUAAUGCUUAGGAAUCUGCCUAUUAGUGGGGGACAACAUUUCGAAAGGAAUGCUAAUACCGCAUACGUCCUACGGGAGAAAGCAGGGGAUCUUCGGACCUUGCGCUAAUAGAUGAGCCUAAGUCGGAUUAGCUAGUUGGUGGGGUAAAGGCUCACCAAGGCGACGAUCCGUAACUGGUCUGAGAGGAUGAUCAGUCACACUGGAACUGAGACACGGUCCAGACUCCUACGGGAGGCAGCAGUGGGGAAUAUUGGACAAUGGGCGCAAGCCUGAUCCAGCCAUGCCGCGUGUGUGAAGAAGGCCUUCGGGUUGUAAAGCACUUUCAGUAGGGAGGAAGGGUGUUGUGUUAAUAGCACGGCAUUUUGACGUUACCUACAGAAGAAGCACCGGCUAACUCUGUGCCAGCAGCCGCCGUAAUAC